UUGGUCCAUUAAGGCUAUGGGAAAAGAUCACACGCUGUGUAAUGUAUGAAAAAGAAACUAAGAAUCUUUGAGUUCUUUAUCUUAACACAAGUUUGAAGUUUCUCUUCUUCCUUUUACCUUUUACUUCUUAACAAAAGCCAAGAAUUUAGAUGCGUGUUCUCCGCCAAUGAGAGAAAAAAAAACUUUAAUGUUAGCGACCAGAUCACGUCACUUAUCGUCUGAACACAUAAAAUUACUCAAUCUUAGGUGUGUUCUAUCCUAUUCCGCUUGUCUGCAACAACCCUAGAUCCAUUAUUUUUAAUGAUGUGACUCGCUUGUUAGUGAGUAAAGUGGCCUUGCUUGUUAGCAAUGAUUUGAUGUGGUCUCGCUUGUUGGCGGUGACAUUACUUGUACCUAGUUUAGGUUUGUUGCGUCUGCUGUAUUUGUGGUGGAUCUAAACAUGUACACUUAUGUUAAUACCGAUAGUGUUUGUGGUAGCCAAUUAGCUAGAGGUUUAUCUUUAUGCUUGUUUGUGCUAAUUAUUUCCAUAUUAUUGAAUUGGCAACUGAAGAAUGCGUCCACGUGGUAACAUUGUAUCUGUUCAUGUUUGUUAAUGAAACCACUAUCGCUUCUUGUCAAAAAAUGGUAUGACUCGAACAUUUCUUAUCAAAUUAGUAUGUAUCUAUCUAAACAAAACAUCAUUUUCUCAUUUUAUUUUAUGAAGAAGUUGGGGGAUUUCAAUUUUUUUUUUUUAUUCCAAUAUUUAAUUCUUGAGUAGCCUCUCAAAUCACCAACUUAAUCUUGGAUUGCUCGUCUAAUAAAUGGAGGACCAUCAUUCAUCAUCAUGCAUGUUAAUAAAUUUGUGACAUUGGCAAAUGUUUUAUUCCUUGAUAGCUUAUAAUUUAAUAGGCUAAAUUGUUUGCGAAUAUUGCAUGCAUGUUCCUAAGAGCAAUUGUCAAUGAAAACCUACAAAUUUAAUAAGGUGGUGGAGAUGAAUUAUUUGGUUGGUAUCAUCGUAUAUACGUGUCUUCUAAUUAAGUUUAUAACAAUUAUUUGUAAUAUCCCGGAAUCAUAUUUUGCAUAAAACAAAUAAUUAAUCAAAGAAGAUAGAUGAUCAAGUGGGGUUGAGAGACAAACCAUGUUGCAAUUACUUUUUUCUUUUAGCAAUUUACUACACGUACAUGAUGCCACGCCAACGAAAGCUAGUCGGAGAAUUUUAUGCCGAUGAUUAAGAUGAUUUCCAAUUUAAUUAAUCACAUAAAACAGUCUAGGGUUUAUCUCAACUUGAUGCAUGUUUAAAGCUGAAGAGGUGGUGCGCGCAUGACAAUUUUUUGUUCUUUGAUCAAGUUGAAAGUCCUAACAAUGUUAUAACAUGAUCACUUGAACACAUAUUGUACAUAUUUUUUUAAUCGUAAUGAAUAUCUCAUGUUUUCAAAACCAAAGUUAAAAAAAAGAAGAUAUAUAUUUAUUUUAUACGCACGCUAUAUGAAUUAUGGAAUACUUUACAUUGUCAAGACCAUGUCUUUGUUUGUUGGUUUGUUAUUAUUUUGUUGGUUUUGUUUCUUUCUCGCUUUUGUAGGACGAUUAAAUGGUGUUGUAAGUUGCCAAAUUUUUACAUGAGAUGGCAUCCAUAUUCUCAGCGUCUUCCUCAUUGUGCAGAAGUGGGGCAUCUUCAGCAGUUUAUUCUCAUCACAUGGUCCCGAUGAUCAUCAACUUGUUAUUGUUUUAGUUUGAUGAGGUUUGAGUUUGUUGGAUUCCCUAAAAGCUAGGGUUAAAUUUCUUGAAGACCAGGCUGUAAGCACGGUGUCGUGGAGACGAAAUUAUGAUUACGAAGAAGAAGAAAAAGAUUGUUCAUUGUAUACAAAAACCGGAAUUCUAUUAUGAUCCGAUGUACUGAAUACGUCAACGCAUGCUAUAAAAAAUCAUAUAAAAGCAAGAAAAAUGCAAGAAAAAAAUUUGGAGUGUGC